rnacentral:rRNA from 1 species
UACGGAGGGAGCUAGCGUUGUUCGGAAUUACUGGGCGUAAAGCGCGCGUAGGCGGCCUUGCAAGUUAGAGGUGAAAGCCCGGAGCUCAACUCCGGAACUGCCUUUAAAACUGCAUAGCUUGAAUCCGGGAGAGGUGAGUGGAAUUCCGAGUGUAGAGGUGAAAUUCGAUAGAUAUUCGGAAGAACACCAGUGGCGAAGGCGGCUCACUGGACCGGUAUUGACGCUGAG